rnacentral:rRNA from 1 species
CUACGGGCGGCACCAGUGGGGAAUAUUGCACAAUGGGCGCAAGCCUGAUGCAGCCAUGCCGCGUGUAUGAAGAAGGCCUUCGGGUUGUAAAGUACUUUCAGCGGGGAGGAAGGGAGUAAAGUUAAUACCUUUACUCAUUGACGUUACCCGCAGAAGAAGCACCGGCUAACUCCGUGCCAGCAGCCGCGGUAAUACGGAGGGUGCAAGCGUUAAUCGGAAUUACUGGGCGUAAAGCGCACGCAGGCGGUUUGUUAAGUCAGAUGCGAAAUCCCCGGGCUCAACCUGGGAACUGCAUCUGAUACUGGCAAGCUCGAGUCUCGUAGAGGGGGGUAGAAUUCCAGGUGUAGCGGUGAAAUGCGUAGAGAUCUGGAGGAAUACCGGUGGCGAAGGCGGCCCCCUGGACGAAGACUGACGCUCAGGUGCGAAAGCGUGGGGAGCAAACAGGAUUAGAUACCCCAGUAGUC